rnacentral:rRNA from 1 species
GAGUUUGAUCGUGGCUCAGAUUGAACGCUGGCGGCAGGCCUAACACAUGCAAGUCGAGCGGUAGAGAGAAGCUUGCUUCUCUUGAGAGCGGCGGACGGGUGAGUAAUGCCUAGGAAUCUGCCUGGUAGUGGGGGAUAACGCUCGGAAACGGACGCUAAUACCGCAUACGUCCUACGGGAGAAAGCAGGGGACCUUCGGGCCUUGCGCUAUCAGAUGAGCCUAGGUCGGAUUAGCUAGUUGGUGAGGUAAUGGCUCACCAAGGCGACGAUCCGUAACUGGUCCGAGAGGAUGAUCAGUCACACUGGAACUGAGACACGGUCCAGACUCCUACGGGAGGCAGCAGUGGGGAAUAUUGGACAAUGGGCGAAAGCCUGAUCCAGCCAUGCCGCGUGUGUGAAGAAGGUCUUCGGAUUGUAAAGCACUUUAAGUUGGGAGGAAGGGCAGUAAAUUAAUACUUUGCUGUUUUGACGUUACCGACAGAAUAAGCACCGGCUAACUCUGUGCCAGCCGCCG